rnacentral:rRNA from 1 species
GACGAACGCUGGCGGCGUGCUUAACACAUGCAAGUCGAACGGUAAGGCCCUUCGGGGUACACGAGUGGCGAACGGGUGAGUACCACGUGGGUGAUCUGCCCUGCACUUCGGGAUAAGCCUGGGACACUGGGUCUAAUACCGGAUAGGACCACUUCCUGCAUGGGUGGUGGUGGAAAGCUUUUGCGGUGUGGGAUGGGCCCGCGGCCUAUCAGCUUGUUGGUGGGGUGAUGGCCUACCAAGGCGACGACGGGUAGCCGGCCUGGGAGGGUGACCGGCCACACUGGGACUGAGAUACGGCCCAGACUCCUACGGGAGGCAGCAGUGGGGAAUAUUGCACAAUGGGCGCAAGCCUGAUGCAGCGACGCCGCGUGAGGGAUGACGGCCUUCGGGUUGUAAACCUCUUUCAGCACCGACGAAGCGCAAGUGACGGUAGAUGCAGAAGAAGGACCGGCCAACUACGUGCCAGCCGCCGCCGUAA